CAAAGACGCACACAGACACACACGGACACACACAUCAGACCGUCAGACCGGAGCCGGAGAGGGAGGAGAAGAAACCCCGUCUCCCCUCGCUGUGGGGGCUCUCGGGCACAUGUCUGUGGUUUAAAUCUGGAGGAUUUGACAUCGUGACAACUUUUAUUUUUCAUCUCCCUGCAGCGAGAGAGCAGAGACAAUGGAGGAGGAAAAAUCGUGAGUGAGGAGCCGAUGUGGGAUUUUUUCAUUUUACGCAAUCAGAGCAUCGACACAGGCUGAAUGGAGAUCGAGGCUGAGACACUGGAGUGAGGAGAUCGUUCAAGAGGACGACAGAAGGCGAGCAGCUGCUGAAUAAAAGAGGCCAGGCGCUGGCUGAGGUAGUAGUUUGUGCUGUUGGUCGGGUUGUCACGUUGCUCCCGUUAUGGAGAUGACUGCGCAAUCUACUGCCUUGCCGGCGCUGGUGACUUGCGACGGAGGAAUGGAUCUGGAUCAGGAUGAAGUGAAUGCAGAGGAGCAUGGACCCACAAUUAUGAUGAAAAGUGUUGUGAGCUUGGACAGACAUUUUCAUAUGAAACACAUGCAAACCUAAAAUAUCCAAUGCUUUUUUCCUCAUUUUUAAUAAAGCUUAUUUUAAUGGCAUCACGUGGAUUUGUGUUACUUCUCUCCAAGUCUUGUUUCAAUUCAUUUUAUGGAUGAAAUUGUCCAGGGGUAAGUAUGUAAAUGUAAAAUAUUAAAUUACAGGUUUGUAUUCAAAAUCAUGUUAGGAAACUAAUAUCCCAACAGUAAUCUGAUUAAGGCAAUCUUAAUGAAACACUGCCAUGUAUUCUGAUUACCAGAUAAGGUCAUAAUCCGAAGAAGUAGCAAUAUUAAUAAACUAUUCUUUUGUUUCUUGUUCCACAAAUUGAUUUGGUCUGAAGAAUAAUUUGAACUGGGAGAAGAAGGAUUUGGGGAAAUAUCGAUUGUGGGCCCCUGUGUGUUGAGCUUAAAUUCUUCCUUUUUUAAUGACACGCAUAACUUUUUCUUUUUACAUUGAGCUAUAACAUUUUAUUGUCAUUUUUUUUACUUCUGGAAAAGAAACACUUGAGAUAAACAAUGAUUUUUCUCCCCAUGAGUCAAAGUUGCACAAAGAAACAUUAAAAUAUUUCAUUUUGACUUCA